GACGAACGCUGGCGGCGUGCUUAACACAUGCAAGUCGAACGGUGAAAGCGGAGCUUGCUCCGCUGGAUCAGUGGCGAACGGGUGAGUAACACGUGGGCAACCUGCCCCUCACUUCGGGAUAACUCCGGGAAACCGGGGCUAAUACCGGAUAUGACCUCCUUGGGCAUCCUUGGAGGUGGAAAGUUUUUCGGUGAGGGAUGGGCCCGCGACCUAUCAGCUUGUUGGGGAGGUAGUGGCUCACCAAGGCGACGACGGGUAGCCGGCCUGAGAGGGCGACAGGCCACACUGGGACUGAGACACGGCCCAGACUCCUACGGGAGGCAGCAGUGGGGAAUAUUGCGCAAUGGGCGAAAGCCUGACGCAGCAACGCCGCGUGCGGGAUGACGGCCUUCGGGUUGUAAACCGCUUUCAGCAGGGAAGAAGCCGCAAGGUGACGGUACCUGCAGAAGAAGCACCGGCUAACUACGUGCCAGCCGCCGCCGUAA
rnacentral:rRNA from 1 species